rnacentral:rRNA from 1 species
CUUAACACAUGCAAGUUCGAGGGGUAACGAUGUAGCUUGCUACAGUCGACGACCGGCGCACGGGUGAGUAACGCGUAUGCAACCUACCUUUAACUGGAGGAUAGCCCAGGGAAACUUGGAUUAAUACUCCAUAGUCUACUAAUAUCGCAUGGUAUAAGUAGUAAAGUUCCGGCGGUUAAAGAUGGGCAUGCGUGCCAUUAGAUAGUUGGUAAGGUAACGGCUUACCAAGUCAGCGAUGGCUACGGGGUCUUAAAGGAUGAUCCCGCACACUGGUACUGAGACACGGACCAGACUCCUACGGGAGGCAGCAGUGAGGAAUAUUGGUCAAUGGGGGCAACCCUGAACCAGCCAUGCCGCGUGAAGGAAGACGGCCCUAUGGGUUGUAAACUUCUUUUAUACAGGAAUAACUAGUUCUACGUGUAGAACUUUGAAUGUACUGUAUGAAUAAGCAUCGGCUAACUCCGUGCCAGCAGCCGCGGUAAUACGGAGGAUGCAGGCGUUAUCCGGAUUUAUUAGGUUUAAAGGGUGCGCAGGCGGCCUCAUAAGUCAGUGUUGAAAGUUUGCAGCUUAACUGUAAAAUUGGCAUUGAAACUGUGAGGCUUGAAUAUGGUAGAGGUAGGCGGAAUGUGUAGUGUAGCGGUGAAAUGCUUAGAUAUUA